rnacentral:rRNA from 1 species
GAAUCCGCUAAGGAGUGUGUAACAACUCACCUGCCGAAUGAAUUAGCCCUGAAAAUGGAUGGCGCUUAAGCGGGUAGCCGACACCACGCCGUUGGAACAAAUUUGGCCAUUAUCCAAUGAGUAGGAGGGCGUGGCGGUUGCAGCGAAGCGUACGGGCAACUGUGCGUUGAGCGGCCGCUAGUGCAGAUCUUGGUGGUAGUAGCAAAUAUUCAAGUUCAAUCCUUGAAGGACGAAGCGGGGAAGGGUUCCAGGCGAACAUUGAUUGAGCCUGGGUGAGUCGUCCCUAAGUCGCGUGCUAACUAGUCACUAGUAUGUCGGCGAAAGGGAAACGGGUUGACAUUCCCGUACACGGAUGUGGUGGCGGUGACGCACGUCUGGGGCGAAUACGCUGGUGGUAGCGCUGGGCAGAGUUGUCUUUUCUGUUUAACCUUUGUGCGCCGUACUCUGUGGAAUCCGCUUGUCGGGAGAAACAGGUGCGGCCGGGAAUAGCACCGUGUUUUUAUCGGUGUCCAGCUAGCUACUGUCAGACCUUGAAAAUUCGUCUGCUGGGCAAAGUAUAUUGGGGAGGGCUCCUUUCGGGGGGUUUUCCGUCUCACAACUUUGUUGGAAAAAGCCACGCCGUAACGUACCCAUAACCGCAUCAGGUCCCCAAGGUGAACAGCCUCUGUCCGAUAUAGUAAUGCAGGUAAGGGAAGUCGGCA